rfam:Capsicum annuum cultivar Zunla-1 chromosome 5, whole genome shotgun sequence
GUUGGUGAUGCAGGCAAUAUCUAAGAAGAAAAUUAAAUCUCUUCCAUUCAUGAUAGAUAUUUUCAUCUGCUUUCUGCUUAAAACUUAGGAUCUUACUCCUUAUC